AGGGAUAUUGUUUAAUUAAGGCUUAGCGAAACACUUCAUUACCACAAAUAUGAGUGAUUUUCGAGUCCUCUCUACCAGUACUAUCAAGGCACCAAAUGCAGGUGACUCAACUGAUCGUAUAAUUCAUUUAACCCCAUGGGAUCUUCAAUUCCUCCCAUUUGGAUCCAACCAAAAGGGGUUUCUUUAUCACCAUCCCACGGUAGUAAACAUGUCCAACAAAAUUCAACACUUUAAACAGUCUCUUUCCUGUGCCCUUGCAUUCUUUCCACCCUUUACUGGUCGUCUCGAAAUUACAGAACACGAAGAUAACACUAUUUCGUGUUCCCUUGCAUGCAAAAAUGCUGGUGCACUCUUUGUUCAUGCAAAAGCAGAGAACACAUGUGUUGCCGACAUUCUAGGAUCCACCUACCUUCCUUCCUUUUUCCACUCCUUCUUUCCACUUAACGGAGUUAUAAACUACGAAGGUACAUCACAUCCAUUGCUUGCAUUCCAAGUAACAGAGUUAAGUGACGGUACUUUUGUUAGUUGGACAAUGAACCAUGUAGUCCUUGAUGGAAUGUCCAAUUCACAUUUCAUCAAUUCACUGGCUGAAAUCUCACGUGGUUCUUGCCAUCAAAUAUCUGUACCUCCAACACUUGAACGUUUAUUUCCAAAUGGAAUUCAACGUCCCAUACGAUUUCCUUUUGUUAAACUUCUUAUUGUUGCUUAAGUACUUAACUUGCUGUGCAAGUUUCCUUGCUUACCUAGAGUAUCUACUAUGUACCUUCUCUAGAUGAUUGUAUCCUAGUUAAGAGUUUGUUAUUUUUCUUUUGUACUAUAUAUAGCUCUUGUAACAAACUCAUAACCAAUUGAAAUAUACACAGUUUUCUGUUUCUUCUUCUCCAAGCUUCUCUGUUUUCUCUCAUCUUCUUCCAUGGAAAUGGUGAAGUUUAUGAUGGUAUCAGAGCUUCUCUAAGCUCUGUUGCGCAUCGUUUUCACUCUGUUUCUUGUUUUUUCUUCAUCUUUUCUCGCUUCCGGUUAUUUUUUUCUUCUCACCAUGGUUCGUGGUAACACUGUUGUUAAUGGCGGUGUUAAUGGUGGUGCUGCACCGGUUCAGGAUCCAUCGCAACAACCUGGUAACGUGUAUUACGUUCAUGCUUCUGAUGGUCCCUCUUCCGUCGCCAUUACACCGGUUCUUAGCCAUUCAAAUUACCAUUCUUGGGCGCGUUCUAUGCGAAGAGCUCUUGGAGCGAAGAACAAGUUUGAUUUUGUGGAUGGAUCUAUCCCUGUUCCAACAGAUUUUGAUCCAAAUUUCAAGGCUUGGAAUCGUUGCAACAUGCUUGUGCAUUCUUGGAUUAUGAAUUCUGUUGAAGAUUCAAUUGCACAAAGCAUUGUUUUCCUGGAAAAUGCCAUUGAUGUAUGGAAUGAACUCAAAGAGAGAUUCUCCCAAGGUGAUUUCAUUCGUAUCUCUGAAUUACAGUGUGAAAUUUUUAGUUUGAAACAAGAUUCACGUUCAGUUACAGAAUUUUUCACUGCCUUGAAAGUUCUAUGGGAAGAGCUUGAAGCUUAUCUUCCAACACCUGUUUGUGCUUGUCCUCAUCGUUGCAUGUGUAUCACUGGUGUGAUGAAUGCUAAACAUCAACAUGAGAUCACACGUUCUAUUCGUUUUCUUACUGGAUUGAAUGAUUCUUUUGAUCUGGUUCGUUCUCAGAUUUUAUUGAUGAAUCCUUUACCAACUAUCAAUAAGAUUUUUUCUAUGGUUAUGCAACAUGAGAGACAGUUCAAGAUUUCCAUUCCUGUUGAGGAUUCUACUAUCUUGGUUAAUUCAGCUGGUAAAUCACAAGGAAGAGGACGUGGUAAUGGUAAUUCUAAUUCAAAUGGAAAGCGUUCUUGUUCUUUCUGUGGCAGAGAUGGCCACACCAUUGAUAUAUGUUAUAGGAAACAUGGUUUUCCUCCAAAUUAUGGAAAUAAAAAUUUUGCAAAGGUUAAUAAUUCUUCUAUUGAACAAAAUGAAGAAAGGGAGGAUUUGGAUGAUUCAAAAAGUUGCAAAGGGAAUAGCAACACUGAACCUUCUUUUGGAAUCACCAAGGAGCAAUAUGAACAACUUGUUACUCUUCUUCAGUCUCAGCAAGCUUCAUCUAGCAAGGUGAAUCUAUCCCAUGUCACAAAUCAUGUGACUUCAGGUAUAACUAGAACCUCAUAUACUAUGAAUCAUUCAAGUUUUGGAACUUGGAUAGUUGAUUCAGGUGCUAGUGAUCACAUUUGUUCCUCUAUCAAAUUUUUUGAUUCUUAUGCUCCUAUUAUACCUGUGCAUAUCAAGUUGCCAAAUGGAAAUAUGGCUAUAGCAAAGUUCUCUGGCACAGUGAAUUUUUCACCAGGACUUAUUGCUAGAAAUGUGCUAUAUGUUGCAGAAUUUAAACUGAAUUUGUUAUCUGUUCCCAAACUAUGCAUGGAUAAUAAUUGCAUAGUCACUUUUGAUAAUGAUAAGUGUUUUAUACAGGACAAGAGCAAUUUGAAGAUGACUGGUUUGGGUGAAUUAAUUGAAGGAUUGUACUUUCUCAACCUUGGCUCACAAGUUUUUUCACAAUUCAACCAUCAACCUGUCAUAGCUUUAUCUCAAUCCAGCUCAUCUACUACUUUCCUACCUCAAGAAGCCUUAUGGCAUUUUAGACUAGGACAUUUAUCCAAUGAUAGGUUGCUUAGAAUGCAACAACAUUUUCCUUGUAUUAAAGUUGAUAGUAAUUCUGUUUGUGAUAUCUGUCACUAUUCUAGACAUAAAAAGCUUCCUUUUAAGCUCAGUAUGAAUAAAGCUAGUCAUUGUUAUGAGCUAAUUCAUUUUGAUAUAUGGGGUCCUAUUUCUACCCAUUCUAUUCAUGGUCAUAAGUACUUUAUAACUGCUCUUGAUGAUUACAGUCGUUUUACAUGGAUUAUGUUAUGUAAAACUAAGUCUGAAGUUUCAAAAUCUGUUCAAAAUUUCAUUCUUAACAUAGAAAACCAGUUCAAUUGCAAAGUUAAAACUGUCAGAACUGAUAAUGGUCCUGAGUUUCUUAUGCCUGAUUUUUAUUCUUCUAAAGGCAUAGAACAUCAAACUAGUUGUGUUGAAACUCCCCAACAAAAUGGGAGAGUUGAAAGGAAGCAUCAACAUAUUCUUAAUGUUGCUAGAGCUCUCCUUUUCCAAUCAAAACUUCCAAAAAUUUUCUGGUCUUAUUCUGUUUUGCAUGCCAUUUAUAUCAUUAAUCGUAUUCCCACUCCUUUGCUGCAAAACAAAUCUCCUUAUUUUCUUAGAUAUGGUCAUGAUCCUGACUUAAAUAAUUUCAAAGUGUUUGGUUGCCUUUCCUAUGCUUCAACUUUACACAAUCAUAGAACAAAAUUUGAUUCUAGAGCUCAAAAAUGUGUCUUCUUAGGUUACAAGCAAGGCAUUAAAGGUGCUAUCUUAUAUGAUUUAAAUCAUAAGACCAUUUUUGCUUCUAGAAAUGUUACCUAUCAUGAACAUAUCCUACCCUAUUCCAACUCUAAUCAAUAUUUUCAGUGGCAAUAUCAUUCAAAUCACCCCAUCAUCCCUGCUACUGAACAGACCUCAUCAAAUUCUGAACUUCCUUUGGAAAAUCAAUCUGAAACCAACAAAGAACCAGCUAUGCACAUAGACAAUAACACUCAUAUUCAAGACCCUACACAAAUUGAACAUGAACCUCAACAGUUAAACACUAGAAAAUCCACUAGAGUCUCACAGAAACCUAAUCAUUUGUCUGACUAUGUGUGCAAUUCUUCAAGUGAUUCCACCAAACAAGCUUCUUCAGGUAUACUCUAUCCUAUUAAACAUUAUCAUUCACUCAACAAUAUUUCUGCUUCCCACCAGAAAUUUGCUUUGGCAAUCACUGAUGCUUCUGAACCAAUUAGUUACAAAGAAGCUAGUCAACAAGAUUGUUGGGUGAAGGCUAUGAAUUCUGAACUUAGUGCUUUGAACCAUAACAAAACAUGGAUAUUUGUGGACACUCCACCAAAUAUAAAACCUAUAGGGAGCAAAUGGGUUUACAAGAUCAAGCAUAAGUCAGAUGGGACUAUAGAAAGAUAUAAAGCUAGAUUGGUAGCAAAAGGCUAUACUCAAGUUGAAGGGAUUGACUUCUUUGAUACUUUCUCACCUGUAGCUAAGAUAACAACAGUGAGAAUUCUUAUUGCCUUAGCAUCCAUAAACUCAUGGCAUCUACACCAAUUGGAUGUAAAUAAUGCAUUCCUUCAUGGAGACUUAAGUGAAAAUGUUUACAUGUCUGUUCCUCAAGGUGUUCAUAGUCCCAAGCCUAAUCAAGUUUGCAAGUUGUUGAAAUCUCUAUAUGGUUUGAAGCAGGCCAGUAGAAAAUGGUAUGAAAAGCUAACUGGUUUCCUUCUGCUUCAAGGAUACAAACAAUCUGCAUCAGAUCACUCAUUGUUCAUUUUACACAGUGAUACCUGUUUCACUGCUUUACUUGUAUAUGUGGAUGAUGUAAUACUGGCUGGAAAUUCCAUGACUGAAAUAGAUAGAAUCAAAGCUGUUCUUGAUGUUGAGUUCAAAAUCAAGGAUCUUGGAAAACUAAAAUACUUCUUAGGCAUUGAGGUUGCUCACUCCAAACUAGGCAUCAGCAUAUGUCAAAGAAAAUACUGUCUUGAUUUGUUAAAAGACACUGGUUUACUUGGUGCUAAACCUGUCACAACUCCCCUUGAUCCUUCUAUUAAACUUCACCAGGAUAAUUCACCUCCCCAUGAUGACAUUCUCAGUUACAGGAGAUUAGUUGGAAAAUUGUUGUAUCUUACAACUACAAGACCUGAUAUUGCUUUUGUUGUUCAACAAUUGAGCCAGUUUCUUAAUGCUCCAACCAUUACUCACUAUGACACUGCUUGUAGAGUGGUUAAAUAUCUCAAAGGGACUCCUGGUCAAGGUUUAUUAUUCAGAAGAGAUUCACAACUUCAAUUGCUUGGUUUUACUGAUGCAGAUUGGGCAGGAUGUCCAGAUAGCAGAAGAUCAACAUCAGGCUAUUGUUUUUUUCUUGGUUCUUCCUUGAUAUCAUGGAGAGCAAAGAAACAACAUACUGUUGCAAGGAGUUCAUCUGAAGCAGAAUAUAGAGCCCUCUCCUUUGCAAGUUGUGAAUUACAAUGGCUUCUUUACUUGUUAAAGGAUCUGAGAGUUAAAUGUAAUAAGCUUCCAGUUCUUUUUUGUGACAACCAAAGUGCCAUACACAUAGCAGGGAAUCCAGUUUUUCAUGAAAGAACAAAACACUUGGAGAUAGAUUGCCAUUUUGUCAGAGAAAAGCUUCAACAAAAUAUCUUCAAGUUACUUCCUAUCAAGUCUCAGUCCCAGCUUGCAGAUUUUUUUACUAAACCUUUACCACCUAAGAAUUUUCACUCCUUCUUACCCAAGCUUAACAUGAUUGAUUUAUACAAUGCUAAGCUUGAGGGGGGCUGUUAAACUUCUUAUUGUUGCUUAAGUACUUAACUUGCUGUGCAAGUUUCCUUGCUUACCUAGAGUAUCUACUAUGUACCUUCUCUAGAUGAUUGUAUCCUAGUUAAGAGUUUGUUAUUUUUCUUUUGUACUAUAUAUAGCUCUUGUAACAAACUCAUAACCAAUUGAAAUAUACACAGUUUUCUGUUUCUUCUUCUCCAAGCUUCUCUGUUUUCUCUCAUCUUCUUCCAUGGAAAUGGUGAAGUUUAUGAC
rnacentral:lncRNA from 1 species